GAUGAACGCUAGCGGCAGGCCUUACACAUGCAAGUCGAGGGGUAACAGGAGAGAGCUUGCUCUUUCGCUGACGACCGGCGCACGGGUGCGUAACACGUAUGCAACCUACCUCUUACUGGGGAAUAGCCCAGAGAAAUUUGGAUUAACACCCCAUAGUAUUAUUCUUCCGCAUGGUUGAAUGAUUAAAGGUUACGGUAAGAGAUGGGCAUGCGCCCCAUUAGCUAGUUGGUGAGGUAACGGCUCACCAAGGCUACGAUGGGUAGGGGGUCUGAGAGGACUAUCCCCCACACUGGUACUGAGACACGGACCAGACUCCUACGGGAGGCAGCAGUGAGGAAUAUUGCGCAAUGGACGAAAGUCUGACGCAGCCAUGCCGCGUGCAGGAUGACAGCCCUACGGGUUGUAAACUGCUUUUAUACAGGAAGAAACACUCCGACGUGUCGGAGCUUGACGGUACUGUAAGAAUAAGGAUCGGCUAACUCCGUG
rnacentral:rRNA from 1 species